UGUGGGAGCUGGCUUGCCUGCGAUAGCGGUUUUCAGUCAGCCCAUCAGUGACUGACCCACCGCCAUCGCAGGCAAGCCAGCUCCCACA
rnacentral:misc_RNA from 2 species